UGGGGAAUUUUGGACAAUGGGCGCAAGCCUGAUCCAGCAAUGCCGCGUGCAGGAUGAAGGCCUUCGGGUUGUAAACUGCUUUUGUACGGAGCGAAAAGCUUCUGGUUAAUACCUGGGAGUCAUGACGGUACCGUAAGAAUAAGCACCGGCUAACUACGUGCCAGCAGCCGCGGUAAUACGUAGGGUGCGAGCGUUAAUCGGAAUUACUGGGCGUACAGCGUGCGCAGGCGGUUAUGUAAGACAGAGGUGAAAUCCCCGGGCUCAACCUGGGAACUGCCUUUGAGACGGCAUGGCUAGAGUGCGGCAGAGGGGGAUGGAAUUCCGCGUGUAGCAGUGAAAUGCGUAGAUAUGCGGAGGAACACCGAUGGCGAAGGCAAUCCCCUAGGCCUGCAGUGACGCUCAUGCACGAAAGCGUGGGGAGCAAACA
rnacentral:rRNA from 1 species